AAGUGUUUUGUUUUCUUUGUCAACCAAAUUCAGAUUGAAAUAUAAACAGAUGCUCUGUUCGGCAUUUAUUCUAAAGAAAUUUUCACAGAAGUGGACGAAAAAAGAUUUGCUCUCACCGUUUGUCAAAGUGAGAACUGGUUUUCACGUUUUGUCUUUUCAUUCAAUUUCGGACCAAAUUACCCUGGGAAAACUUAAUAAUGGCACAAACCAAACCGUGCAGCAGUUCGUAUCGGUUAAGUUGACGGCAUAAACCAAACCCUACAGCAGUUGGUUUCGGUUUAGUUGAUGCGUUUUGAAAAAGACAAAAAAAAAAAAAAAACUGAAACGAAGAAACCCGAGAAAACGAAAAAGAGAAGAGAGUAACGGAGAGAUUUGAGAGAGAAUCAGAAAGCGAAACGAAAUUCAGUAUCCCUUGCUUCAAAAUUCGACAUAACUUCGAAUUGUUGGGUAGUUGAAUUGAGCCACUGAACUCCCACAUCCGGGGAAGUGAAAGUUACUGUUUUUCCCGGCGAAGCCAAGAGAAAGUUAUUGUUUAUUCCGGCGAAAUUUGAACCUCCGGCGAGAUAGCAUCUUUAGAUAUGGCUGGGAAUAAAGCUAACGACGAAGUCCCGAGGAAGCAGCAUGGUCAAGGGAAGGAGAAGCGGGUAUUAAGAGUUUCCCCGCAGAGAAAACGCUCUGCGACAAAGGCAACGGAGGAACUGGCUUAGAAUCUCUAAUUUACCGUUUGUUGUCUUUGGGUGUAUCAGAAUUGUAAAGCUUGUUUGAUUAAAGGGUUAGAAUUUGUCGGAAUUUAGCAUAUCUUUAGGAUGAAUAAUUGAGAAGUAGAAUUGGAAAUCUCUGUUUCCGCCAAAAAUAUGAUUUUGAGUUAUAAUCUGGAAAAUGUCUGUGUACGUACACUACUUCGGUUUGCUUA
rnacentral:sRNA from 1 species